GUUAAUCAAAGAAAUUUUCUACACAAAAUCCUCCAAAAAAUCGCGAACAUACAACAAGGCAUCACAGUGCUCUGCGGGGAUUUUAAUCACAUCCUAGACCCUAAACUCGACACUACACUGCCCCAACACAGCCGCAGACACCGCCCCUUGAAAAGACAAUGCAAGGCCAUACAAAAACUUCUGCACACACAUCACUUUUAUGACACAUGGAGACUCACACACCCCAGCGAACGGACAUAUACACACUACUCCCCAGUGCAUAAUUCUU